CGGUUAAGUUAGAAAGGGCGCACGGUGGAUGCCUUGGCACUAGGAGCCGAUGAAGGACGGGACGAACACCGAUAUGCUUCGGGGAGCUGUAAGCAAGCUUUGAUCCGGAGAUUUCCGAAUGGGGAAACCCACCACUCGUAAUGGAGUGGUAUCCAUAUCUGAAUUCAUAGGAUAUGAGAAGGCAGACCCGGGGAACUGAAACAUCUAAGUACCCGGAGGAAGAGAAAGCAAAUGCGAUUCCCUGAGUAGCGGCGAGCGAAACGGGAUUAGCCCAAACCAAGAGGCUUGCCUCUUGGGGUUGUAGGACACUCUGUACGGAGUUACAAAGGAACGAGGUAGAUGAAGAGGUCUGGAAAGGCCCGCCAUAGGAGGUAACAGCCCUGUAGUCAAAACUUCGUUCUCUCCUGAGUGGAUCCUGAGUACGGCGGAACACGUGAAAUUCCGUCGGAAUCCGGGAGGACCAUCUCCCAAGGCUAAAUACUCCCUAGUGACCGAUAGUGAACCAGUACCGUGAGGGAAAGGUGAAAAGCACCCCGGAAGGGGAGUGAAAGAGAUCCUGAAACCGUGUGCCUACAAGUAGUCAGAGCCCGUUAACGGGUGAUGGCGUGCCUUUUGUAGAAUGAACCGGCGAGUUACGAUCCCGUGCAAGGUUAAGCAGAAGAUGCGGAGCCGCAGCGAAAGCGAGUCUGAAUAGGGCGCAUGAGUACGUGGUCGUAGACCCGAAACCAGGUGAUCUACCCAUGUCCAGGGUGAAGUUCAGGUAACACUGAAUGGAGGCCCGAACCCACGCACGUUGAAAAGUGCGGGGAUGAGGUGUGGGUAGGGGUGAAAUGCCAAUCGAACCUGGAGAUAGCUGGUUCUCUCCGAAAUAGCUUUAGGGCUAGCCUCAAGGUAAGAGUCUUGGAGGUAGAGCACUGAUUGGACUAGGGGCCCCUACCGGGUUACCGAAUUCAGUCAAACUCCGAAUGCCAAUGACUUAUCC
rnacentral:rRNA from 1 species